GGGAUGGUUAAUGGGUACAAAAAAAUAGAAAGAAUGAAUAAGACCUACUGUUUGCUAGCACAACAGAGUACAAAAAUAAAAAAAACUUGAAAUGUACAUUU